UAGAUAAACAUACACAAUUAUUUAAAUAUUCUUAGAUGUCAACAAAAAAAUAUUUCUAUAAAACAAAUAUGAUUAUUCAAAUAUGUCAACAUCUAUAAUUCGAGAAUUUAUAAUUCCAAACAUCUAAAAGAUUUGAUUAUCUGCACUCUAAAACAAGCUUGUACAUGUUGUAAAAAUUUUGAAAAAUGGCAGCAAGUCCUCUUCUUGGAAAAUUUCACAAAAUGACCCAAAAAUCAAAAACUUUUCUACCACUGACCUUUUGCCCAUACGAAAUUACAAAAUUACCCCAAUUUUAAAAAUCCUUCAGAUUGUUUGCGUGCCUCUACGAAUACUUUACAACGAUAGGUUCCUUCAUUUCUUUCAUUUCUUUCUCAAACAAUUUCUCUUCGAAUAAUUUUCUCUCAAACUUGCUAUCGUUUUCUCUCCGAACUUCAGCCAAGAACUCCUCGCAGGUUUCUCGUUGGUCGUCUCUACACACUUGCCACCGUUCUCGUGAUCUGAAAGGUAUGAGACUAUUUUUCUUGAAGAAUGCAUGUUGAUAUUCAAGGUUUGACUAUCUUUUAGGGUUUAAUCGCGUAUUUGUUUGUAAUUGAUCGUUGGGAGAAUACUAAGCUCGGAUAGAUAAUACUAGCAAGCGUUUAGAUAUACUAAACGAUCGCAUAGAGAAUACUAAGCGACCGUUUAGAUAUUUAUUGUGUGAUCGUUUAGGUUUAUAUCGUGCGAUCAUUUAGUUAACUGUUACGCGAUUGUUUAGAUAUUUAUUGUGCGAUCGUUUAGGUUUAUAUGUAUGAUCGUUUAGAUAUAUGUUAUGUGAUCGUUUAGCUAACUAUUAUGCAGUCGUUUAGAUAUGUGUUAUUUGAUUAUUUAGUUUUCAUUAUGCGACUUUUUAGUUUUUGUUAUGCGGUCAUUUAGAUUUUGUAUAAGAUCGUUUAGAUUUUCUAGAUGAUCAUUUAGAUUUUCUUGUAAUGUACACAAUUGUCAGAUUGGUAAGAUGGCGAUUGUUUACUAAUUCUUGCAAUGUACAUGAUUGUUAGAUUAGUAAGAUGGUCGUCCCUGCUGAGAAGUAUUUCCCUACUACAGUCACUUGUCAAGUCCACAAAAUUGCCCCUAUGAUUAAGAAUAAGUUAACACAAGAACAUAUGAGAUUGUAUACGAAAAAGGCUUUUGGUCCACUGUUGGAUAUAGAUAUUGUUUUUAAUUGACAACUUUUGCACCACUUUCUGUUAAGGGAGGUAACAGAUACAAACCCAAACGUUAUAUCAUUCAACAUUCUAGGGAAAAAGAUAACAUUCUCCCAAUAGGAUUUUAACUUGAUAACUGGGUUGUCGCUGAUCGGGGAAACAAUAGAAAGAGAAACAAACGGUGAAAGGCUGCGAGAACUCAUUCUUUGACCGAAGGACCCAAAUGAAAAUUAUAGUUCUUGCAAGGAAGUGGAGACAUUCGAGAAUUUCAAUUUUACUAAUAACAAAUAUGUUGUCAAGGUUGCAUUGGCACUGUUUAUUGAAACGGUGAUGAUUGAAAAAAAAAACUCAAUUUGAUGUGAAUAUAUUUGGGAUCGUCGAUGACCAUGACACGUCGUACAUUACGACGGAUCUUUUCUCUUUCAUUGACGUACAUUGAAUAACAUGAAGACUAUCAUGCGGGGAAGAAGGAGGCAUAUAAUUUAAAGAAAGCAAAAGGUGAUCACCACGUCUUACAUUACUAUAUAAAGGGAUUUUACUUGCUUUCCAGGUUUACGAAAUUUUAUCUACAUCAAGUAAGUUCAUAGCCACCAAAGUCAGCAAGGUUGAAACUCCUAGAAUUCUUAAAUGGACUUGUUCUCGUGCUUCAUCUUAUAAAUUAUUGAGCAAUAAAGUUUUCCACCCAAAAAAAAUAUUGUUGUGUUGAGACUUGUACCUAGUAAAGGAGAUAAGGUACAAGGAGGACCGACUAGAAGGACUUAAUGUGGUUCCUGUUGUUGGAGCAAGAAGGAAUGAAGGGAUUGAACACUCCAUCGAUACUCACGAGUCCUUUCAGGGACAGGAAUAACAUGAACCCCAUGUAAAAAGCUCAGUAAAUGUGCAGGGCAUAGAGCUAGAACCACAUAUGUCGAUUCAGGCUAACCCAAUAGAGCAAGACCAUGUAGGCAAUAAAAGUCCUCAAGACAUCGUCAUUCCAAAUCAUACAAGAUUCUUAGGGAGGAAAUUAAAGAAGUUCACAUAGAUUUGGCGAACUUGACUAUCAUGACUCGUCAGAUGGUAGAUACAUCUACUAUCCAACAUCAUUUGAUGAGCAAACAAUUGAAUGAAAUAAAGAUUAUGGUUUGAACGAAAUAAAGAUGAUAGUCCAUUAUCUGAAUGAGUAAUAAUACAAGGACUCAUCAUGAUGAGAGGUACAAUAACGAGUGACCUCGUGAUGAUGAUAAUGGUGAUGAUGACAAGAAUGAGGGACCUCAUAAUAACGAUGAUCCCUCUCAGAUCGAUGCAGGAGAUCUCCCUUGUACCCACCAAGAAACCCACAGUGUAGAAAAUCCCCCUUGGACCGAUGCAGAAGAACAUGUCAGUGAACAACUAGUCAAUGAACAGCCAGUUGGGACGAUCAGUGAAGUCAAUGAACUCCCCACUCAAGCGUUCAGUCUUAUGGGCCAUUUCAUUGUGGAUUCAGCCAAGGUUGUGGGGACAUCAACUCAAAAGGAUGCUACUAAAGUUAAAGUACAACUAUUGCGUGAAUUAGUCUUCUUAAUAUCGUACUGUCGCUAAUUUAUAAUUUACAUAUAGAAAAAAAAUUAUCGAGAGCGUCGAAAAAGGAAAAAACUAGCCAAGUUCACACCAGAAUUGGUGAAAAUGGGGAAGAAAGGAGAUUCUCAACCCUAAUUUUCUCUACUAUAAUCUUCUCAGCCCCAAUUGGCCACGGUCAAUCCCAACCUUGGUCCCUAUACCUGACUUCCCCAUAAGAACCGUUAGUUCAUAUGACCCAUGCUUCCCAGUCCCAAAUGUUAUGUGGAAUGCAUACAAAAUAUGAAAAUGUCAUCCUAAAACCAAAAACGAGGAGUGGACGGUCGUACAUACCUUCAGGAUCAAGGAUUUCUUCAAACGCUUGAGCAGAACACAUGGAUGCUUAGAGACAUGAGUAUUUUUGUUUAUUCAUUAACCAAAAUCGAUCGUUUAGAAGUUUCUUAAGCUAUCGCACAAACAACUUAUAUUUUUCUUUGUUGGACCAGACUAUAGAUCUUCUUUUGGUGCACAUGCAUCAGAAGUUGCACUCGAAACCUGACCUAUGCACGUAUUGAUUUACGGUGAUUGACUAAGUUAUAAACGAUCGUGUAGUAAUUCAUAAACGAUCGUAUACUGAGUUAUAAACGAUCAUGUAGUAAUUUAUAAACGAUCACGUAAUACUGUAUAAACGAUUGUUCAGAAAUUCAUAUACGAUUACAUAUACAAUACAUUAAGUAUACGAUCGUUUAUAAAUUACUACACAAUCAUUUAUAACUUAGU